rnacentral:rRNA from 1 species
UACGUAGGCGGAAAAUUAAGUCAGUGGUGAAAUCCUGCAGCUUAACUGUGGAACUGUCAUUGAUACUGGUUUUCUUGAAUACAGUUGAGGUAGGCGGAAUGUGUAAUGUAGCGGUGAAAUGCUUAGAUAUUACACAGAACACCGAUUGCGAAGGCAGCUUACUAAACUGUUAUUGACGCUGAGGUACGAAAGCGUGGGGAGCGAACAGGAUUAGAUACCCUGGUAGUCC